GAUGAACGCUGGCGGCGUGCCUAAUACAUGCAAGUCGAGCGAACGGACGAGAAGCUUGCUUCUCUGAUGUUAGCGGCGGACGGGUGAGUAACACGUGGAUAACCUACCUAUAAGACUGGGAUAACUUCGGGAAACCGGAGCUAAUACCGGAUAAUAUUUUGAACCGCAUGGUUCAAAAGUGAAAGACGGUCUUGCUGUCACUUAUAGAUGGAUCCGCGCUGCAUUAUCUAGUUGGUAAGGUAACGGCUUACCAAGGCAACGAUGCAUAGCCGACCUGAGAGGGUGAUCGGCCACACUGGAACGGAGACACGGUCCAGACUCCUACGGGAGGCAGCAGUAGGGAAUCUUCCGCAAUGGGCGAAAGCAUGACGGAGCAACGCCGCGUGAGUGAUGAAGGUCUUCGGAUCGUAAAACUCUGUUAUUAGGGAAGAACAUAUGUGUAAGUAACUGUGCACAUCUUGACGGUACCUAAUCAGAAAGCCACGGCUAACUACGUG
rnacentral:rRNA from 1 species